AACGAACGCUGGCGGCAGGCCUAACACAUGCAAGUCGAGCGCUCACCUUCGGGUGGGAGCGGCGCACGGGUGAGUAACACGUGGGAACCUACCUUGAAGUACGGAAUAACUGAGGGAAACUUCAGCUCAUACCGUAUACGCACUACGGGGGAAAGAUUUAUCGCUUCAGGACGGGCCCGCGUUGGAUUAGCUCGUUAGUGAGGUAAUGGCUCACCAAGGCAACGAUCCAUAGCUGAGUUGAGAGAAUGAUCAGCCACACUGGAACUGAGACGCGGCCCAGACUCCUACGGGGGACAGCAGUGGGGAAUAUUGGACAAUGGGCGCAAGCCUGAUCCAGCCAGGCCGCGUGAGUGAUGAAGGCCUUCGGGUUGUAAAGCUCUUUCAUAUGGGACGAUGAUGACGGUACCAUCAGAAGAAGCCCCGGCUAACUUCGUGCCAGCCGCCGCCGUAAAAC
rnacentral:rRNA from 1 species